CAGUGGACACGGAUUAGCUUGUUGACGCCCAUUUCUCACAAAACGAAAGUGUAAUUCUACUUCACCCAUUUCGUGGAAUGGUAAAACAACAGAUCCUCGUGUGAUUAACACAGACGCCAUUGAAACUUCAAGAUGAAGUGCACAGGUUGUGGCCAUGUUGCGUUUGAGAAAACGGCUAGAUUCUGCAGCCAGUGUGGACAUCAACUAGCUGCACCACCAGUCACCAAGGAGCCUGACAACACUUCUGGAAGUUCACCUAAGCCGUUAGAUCCAUCACUGGAGAGUGUGAAUGAGAAGACGGAAAUGGAGAGUGAUGUGUCAACCCUGAAUAACCGGGAAACUAACACUUCUCCGAAGCGGCCCAAUGAAGAGCCCAACAGCAACCCUAAGAAAAAGAGAAAAAAGAGGAAGAGGACCAAGAAGAAGAAGGACUCUGACCAGCUGACCUCUGACCUGUCUGACAUCUCCCUUAUGGACAGCCAUGGGAAUAGCAGGAAACAGGACGUUGCAGAGUCCUCCGACAGUGAUGCCAGCGCCAUGGACGAGACACCCAACUCACUUCAUGACACGUCUGCCUUAGUGGAGAAACCAGCCAGUGCAUCAGCAUCAUCCGCAGCACCCAGUACAAUCAGUCCAUCUGAGAACACGUCUGACAAUAAAGAUCCUCCAAGCACUACCUCGUCACAGCCUGAGGCCAGUGCAGAGAGCCAUUCUGCCGAAGGGAAAGAUCAACAGUGCAGUGAAGACAGAGACCGAUCUCAGUCACCUACAAAACAGACCUCCAAGUCGGCUCCGAAUGACACUCCUGCCUCUCUCACCGACUCGGCUGGUAAAUCCACCACCACCACCAUCCCCCCUCUUCACUCAGCCUCAGUGGUAUCGUCGAAGACCACUGACCAGAAAGCUCCAAAGGCUGCUGACGCAAAGAUCGCUGACCAGAAAGUUCCAAAGGAUGCUGACGCAACGACCACUGACCAGAAAGCUCCAAAGGCUGCUGACGCAACGACCGCUGACCAGAAAGCUCCAAAGGCUGCUGACGUAAAGAUCGCUGACCAGAAAGCUCCAAAGGCUGCUGACGUAAAGAUCGCUGACCAGAAAGCUCCAAAGGCUGCUGACGCAACGACCGCUGACCAGAAAGCUCCAAAGGCUGCUGACGUAAAGAGCACUAAGAACAAGAAAGACGUGGCCAACUCAAAGCAGACGAACCUGAACCAGAAUGCGAACGUGAACCAGAAUGCUAAGCAGAACCAGACCAGACAAGACAAACAGAAAGGGACAGAUGAUCAGCAGAACCAGGAUUCGAAGCAAACCACCGCUGGUAAUAAGAUGGUGUUUGGCACUCAGAAGAAAUCAGAGGUGGAGAGCAGAGGCUCCAGUGUGGACCCACAGGUGAAGGUGGAGAACAUGGAGGUCCAGCAGCAGCCUUCCCGUGGGGGGGGAGAUGCCUCCUCCCCUACACCACAGAGCCCAGGCGUCAAGAAAGAGAAACAGAAAGACAACAAAAGCGACGACUCUGAAACCAAGGGUCAGGAUGUUCCACCGCCAAAAAGGAUUCCUCCAGGGAAAAAACAGCUCUCUGCAAGUGAGAGACUCACAAUCUAUUUCCACGCUGUCCUCUCGAAGGAUUUCAAGCUGAACCCGGACGAGGAUCGCAUCUUCAUCAGGGCUGGGGGGGACAUUGGGAACUGGAAAACCGAUUCCGUUGAGCUCACUGUGUCUAAGGAUCUUGGAGAGCAUGGGUUCCUAGUCGAAGGGAGCUUGAUCACAAGCAAAUCUAAUGCAACUGUCUCCAUACCAUACAAGUACCUCGUCUACAAGCUUAAAAAGCAAAAGUACGAGUUUGAGUACAUAUACAAACUGGAUUCUAACUACCCCACCACCAACAGAUGUCUUUUUGUCAAAUCUCAUCUGCUUAAUGAAGAAGGGGACUGGCAUCAGUAUGAUGACAUCAUCUGUGUGGAGCCAUCCAAGAACGUGCUCAAGCGGCUAAAAGACGCUUUUUGGCCGGAACAAAGGAAAAGUGUCAUUGAAGGCCGAGAAAUUGCAGGGAAAGUUAUGCUGGAGAGUAUAUUUGACCUCCUCAGGAGCUGGACUGACAUUAACUUCAAGAGUUUCCUCAAUCAGCUGAAUCAGUUUUACCAGAUCUACGGGAACCCGUUUGUCUAUGAGGAGACACACAAGAAAUGGUACUCCUUAGACUACGACGAAAAAGAUGUCAGGAAGCUGCUGAAGCAGUUCAUGCUGGAUAACGUUGUUCCUCAGCUGCAGAAGGAGGGUGAGGGGAAGAGCUGCUUCAUCCAGGACCCCAUGAGGGCAGCUGUGGUCAUGCUGUACGCGUGGAAGAAGUUCGGCCUCAAGCUGGACCACGGAGAGUCCACCCGGCUCUGCAGCACCCUGUGCUUGCCCAAGCUGCCCAAAGACUCCUUUCUGCAGUACUGGACCGACUUCGCCCAAGCCGUCUCCGGUCUCAAAAACCUGCCAGACAUGUUGGUGGCUCUGAUCAACAGUGUGAAGACUGAAGGGCCCCGGUGGAUUUUGGUGCUCCCCCUGCUCCACCUCCUCAAGGGAUCCUCCAAACCGUUCACACCCAUAUCUACCACAGUCACCCCCAAGUACGAGCAGUCCUGGGCGGGCCUCCAAGGCCUCAAAGCAGACUACAUGACACACAACAGCCAGGACAGGAGAGCGAUGUUGAAUCUCAUGAAAAACAAUGGCCAUCUGGUUGAGGUGGACAGACUAGUGUCUCGGUCCUGGAUGUGUCUGCUGACCAUAGAGGACUUGGUGGAAUGCAGCAUACUCAUCAACGUGGAACUGCUGGACCUGCUCCAAGUCUUCACUCUGAGGGCCCCUCAAGAUGUCACCUAUAGCAACAAGCAGUAUGUGUCGGACACUCUCUCACAUAUUCAAAGCAAUCUCAUCGAGGAGAAAUACAGUUGUUUUAGUGAGGCGUAUGGCAGAGAGUGCUUGGCAACUGCAGUGAAGCUUCUUGAGAAGAUCUGCAAAGGAGUCCGAUCCACUUCAACCUACACGCAGAACUUCACAGACAUCCCUGUGGCAUGCAUGAACAUGGUUGUCUCAAUAUCUGAGUUUGCCCGGGCCUUUGAGUCACAGGCAACUAAGGAUGUGGAAAGAGAGCAUAUGCAUGCCAAGGAGCUGGAUCUGCUAUCCGAGGCGAUGGUGAUCGUCAGAUCCUGGAUCGGCACAACCUUCAGAGACCGGUUGCUAGCCAGGAGUGUGACCACCUUGUACCUCAGUGUAAAUGUCACCACAGAGAUAGAGAUGUGGAACAACAUAAUCUCUCUCAAGUUCGCCAAUGACGAUUUCACAAAAGAAUGGAGACAAACGUUCACUAGGGACUUGGAGGGCAAAUUGAAACAGGAGUCUCCUCUGGAUCAGAUAGAGAUCUACUGUUCCAAGAUUGAGGUCCUGAAUGAAUCUCACCCUCACGUAGCCAAGACUAUCGAGAAAUGUGCCCUAGAAGCUGUCACCUCACUGUGCCAGAGCAAGUCUGAGGGUAAACUCUUUGACCGGUUGAAGAUCAACUAUAAGUUUGGCAAACUCAUCUCAACCAUCAUCCAGAAGUCCUGGCCGAGAGAUGAGCGUGGUAAUUACCACGAAGACGACGACGUGGUCUUUCAACACCUGCUCUCCUGGACAGCCGCCAAGAACAUCUUCCAGCUACACGGUGCAGAUGAAAAGCUGAUUGAGCAGCUCUCUGAAGAAGCCAGGGACAGGAUGGCCAUAGCUAUCUCGACCUUCACUGCCAUCUCCAACCAGCUGGUCCACGGAAACAUCCGGAUCAAACUGCUCAACUCCGUCUUGGAGAAGAGAGAUACUUUCACAGAGCUGCUGAAAAUAGACUGUCUUUCGGAGAAUGAGCGCUACAAGGACAGCGCCCCCAUAAAAAGGCUGCUAAUGUGUAGGCAGGAGGAGGUGAAAGCUGUCUAUCAUGAGAAGGAGCUGGUGGAAGUUCUGCUUACCAUGAGCCGCAAACUACAGGAACAUGUCGUAGUUCAAUUUGAAGGCUUGGAAGCAAGACUACAGACCAACAUCGAAGCAAUGACCCUUGACCAAUUCAUGGAGGUCCAUCCAUUUGACCAACUCUCUUCUCCAACGGCCGGUGUAGUCACCUUCUUCGAACUUGAGGACGACGUGAGAGAGAUGGCAGAGGUUCUGCACAGAUUUAAAGACAGCUACAUCUUCAAGUUGUGCUGGGAGAAACAGGCCCGAGACCUUGCCAGAAGAGAUGCAUAUGAUGAAGACUAUGACCCUGAGGAAUCGGUUGACUACUUUGUAGGACCAGUCGAGAUACACAGCGAUAUUUUUCUUCCUUGCUACGCAAAGUACGAUAAGAUCUACAAAUGCCUGAAGAACGGCAGCCUUCGGCUCGAAGAGGUCGAUACUCUCUUCAAGGCCUACAGGGGCAAGUACGAAGAGCUGGCGCAGGACUUGGAUAUCAUGUGCAGAAACGACAAGUCGGAUAACAAACAGUGGAUCCAGAGAAGGGUGCACCAGAUUGAGCAGUACCACGAGCUUCACCUGGCUGUGGAGUCUGCUCAGGUCAUCAUGUUGGUCAAGCAGACGCUCAACCUUCAAGGCAACUUCCAAGUCCUGCAGACACUGCUAGAAGUUACGCAUGAGGACUUUAAGAGGGAGCACCUGGAUCGUAUUGACAAUGACCUGAUGCAGACAAAGCUGGUUCUGGUGGACAUCACAGAGCCCCGCAGACUGUGUCUCCAGGAGCUCGGCCUCAGGAAAAACUUUGUCAUCUGGGUUAAAGAGGCUCUUGAAGAUAUCAACGAACUUAAAGUAUUUGUUGACCUGGCUUCCAUCUCUGCUGGGGAGAAUGACCUCGACGUGGACCGUGUGGCCUGCUUCCAUGAUGCUGUCCUGGGUUACUCUCCGAUGCUGUACGAAUUGAAGCCAGACUCCGGUUUCCAGGCCUUCAAGGAGGUGCUGAAGAAGCUGUGGAGGGCAUUGGACAAUGACAACAACCUCCCAAAGAAGCUGCGUGACACAGCACGCCACCUGGAGUGGUUGAAGACUGUGAAGGACAGCCAUGGAUCUGUGGAACUAUCCUCUCUCUCCUUAGCAUCAGCCAUCAACAGUAAAGGAAUCUACAUCAUCAGUGCCCAAAACCAAAAGAAGUUGAGCCUGGACACGGCCCUGAAACUGCAGAUCCCAGAGGAGCACGACGAGGGCCAUGAGAUGCGCCGUUACUCCCUGGAGGACCUGAGGGAACUGCAGAACAAACUCAUGCUCAUGUCUGGGAAAGGGGACCAGGGCCAGUGUGAGGUGGACCAGUUUGCAGAGGUUUUCGCCAGUGUCCAGAGGCUAGCUGUGGCAUUCAUUGCCCUGUUCACGGCAGGGAACCCCCUGUUCAGACACUGGGAGGCCAACAUCAACUGUAGUUCCCUCAGCCAAGACGCCGGCAUCAUCAUGGACUUCAACCUUGGCAGCGUUGUCAGUGUGAUUAUGGUGGAGGGCAGCAUCGUGGAGCAGCUUCCUGAGCUGUGCAGGAAGAUGGAGAAGUGUCUGAAGUACUGGAACGACUUCAUGGACAAACAGAGAUCCAACAAUUACUACCUGAACUACUACACCGCCGAGCAGAUUGUGUACCUGUGCAGUAAGCUGACUCAGCAGAAUGUGUCGACUUUGGAGGACCAAGUUCUCAUGAUGCUCUCCUUUGUCAAACCCAACUGCACAGCUUCCGAUCUUAGGCAAACCUGGCACACACUGCAAUACGAGAUCCUCACUAACCCACCUGUGCAAAAUGAGGACAUUGACUUCCAGACUUUUGUUGAGGUGCCGAGCGGUGUACAGGGAGGUCUGGAUUUCAUUGGAGAGUUGAAUCUCUCUUCAGACAAUCUUCCAAGUCUUGUGGAGCACAUUAGCGGCUCAGGAAAGUUGGACUUGAUGUGGAACGCCUACAUGAGAGACAUGAAUUCUUUCCUCCAAGACACUCUUGACGUCCGAAGCUUAGGAAAACUGCUAGAAAUUCUGGCCAACAUAGGUGAUGAGAAUGAAGGAGACAUGACUGAUGAGAAGAAAUACAAAAGCAUUGAAAGAUUGAUGCCCAAGGGCCUGGCUAUCGGAAGUCCAAACCUCAUAGUUUCCCCACACGACGAGAUCCUGACUUCUUGCAUCUCCAUUUACAUGAGCAGCAAACACGAGCCACUGCCCACAUACGAUGAGGUCCUACUGUGCAACUCCUCCACGCCUUACGAGCAGGUGGAGCUGUUCCUCAGACGCUGCCUCACUGCCGGCUACAGAGGAGAGAAGAUUUACACCAUGCUCUACGGCGAUCAGCUUAGCUACGAAGUCAGCUCCAAGGUGGAAAGCUUUUUCCAGCGAAUUAAAAUGCAGAGCAGGAAGGACUACAGGCUCGUGAUCAUCUGCAGCUCGGACAGAGAGCAUGCCUACCUUCCCUCAGCCUUCAGCCAGUACAGGUUACACAUGGUGCCCCAGGAACCCCUGAGCAGCAUCCAGAGGUACCUCAACAAACACUACACGGUCCCGUCAGAUCAGAGCAGUGCUGCUGCUGUGUUCAAGGACAGGAUGUUUGUUGGAGUUGUGUCGUCCAGUAGAGCUGGAGUUGGUAAGUCCCUUUACAUCAAGAGGCUGUAUGAAAAACUGAAACACUCCACCAAGAAGCCGUCACUGCUGAAAUGCAUCCGCUUGAUCGAGCCAAGGGUUGAUGAGAAUGUUAUUCUUCAGUCUCUGCUGAAUACCCCCAAGUCGAAAGAGCUCAUCUUCCACUUCGAUGUCACAUCUUCGGUGCGGAAAGGCCUCUAUGAGUUUCUCUUUAAACUGUUGGUCUUGGGAUAUUUGAUGGAUUCUGAGGGAAGGAUGUGGAAAUGGAGCAACAAACAGCUUUAUGUCAUUGAGAUCCUACAGUCAACAGUAAACUUGCCCAGAAAUGGCCCAAGAACGAAUGCACGUGCCAACUCCACAUUCCUGGAUGUGUUCCCAAAUGUCUUCUGCCGCCCACCAAAAGAGGUUCUAGAUCUGGAAAUGAGGAUGCGGGAGGACCCCUCUUUUGUAAAGCUUGAAGAUCCAUUCAUGGAUGACAAAGAGUUCAGGAGUGAAGCAUACCAACGACCCUACCAGUAUCUGACGCGUUUCCAUAAUCAAAUCGACCUGGACACCUUCAUGUACAAUGGGGUGGAAGGCACCUAUGUAGAAUGUCUACAGAUGCUCUUUAUGUUCUGUGGCAUAAUGGACCCAUCGUGGGCCGAGUUAAGGAAUUUCGCAUGGUUCCUAAACCUUCAACUACGAGACUGUGAGACGUCAGUCUUUUGUGAUGCCUCUUUCACCGGGGACACCCUCCAGGGAUUCAAGAACUUUGUGGUGGACUUCAUGAUUCUGAUGGCCAAGGACUUUGCCACACCGUCCCUCAGCAUCUCUGACCAGAGCCCCGGGAGGCAGCAAAUGGACCUGACUGGGGUCAGCGAUGAAGACUUGGCACCCUUCCGGAUCAGGAAGAGAUGGGAGUCAGAACCACAUCCGUACAUCUUCUUCAACGAUGACCAUGUGUCCAUGACCUUCAUUGGCUUCCAUCUUCAGCCCAACGAACAGAACUCUGUUGACGCCAUCGAUCCAUCCACAAGAAGGGUGAUCAAAAGAGACAUCAUGACCAGAGAGCUGUAUGAGGGUCUAAAGUUACAGAGAGUCCCUUUCAAUAUCGACUUUGACCAACUGCCCAGAGGGGAGAAGAUUGAACGCCUUUGCAAUGUCUUGGGAAUCCAGUGGCCUCUUGAUCCUGAUGAAACAUAUGAGCUCACCACUGACAAUAUACUGAAGAUGCUGGCCAUCCACAUGCGUUUCAGGUGUGGCAUCCCAGUCAUCAUCAUGGGGGAGACAGGCUGUGGGAAGACAAGGCUCAUUAAAUUCCUAUGUGAGCUUAGGAGGAGCGGAGUGGCCACGGAGAACAUGAAGCUAGUCAAAGUUCAUGGUGGAACCAGCUCAGACAUGAUCUACACCAAAAUCCGGGAAGCAGAAGCCAUUGCGUUCACCAACAAACAAGACUACAGCUUUGACUCUGUCCUCUUCUUUGACGAAGCCAAUACCACGGAAGCCAUCAGCAGUAUCAAGGAAGUCCUCUGUGAUAAUACAGUGGAGGGAGAGUGUUUGGUGCCCCAUUGCGGCUUGCAGAUCAUCGCCGCAUGCAACCCUUACAGAAAACACACUGACGAGAUGAUUCAGAGGUUGGAAUCUGCUGGACUGGGAUAUCGAGUCCGAGCUGAAGAGACUGAUGAGAAGCUGGGCUCCAUCCCUCUCCGCCAGUUGGUGUACAGAGUCCAGGCCUUGCCCCCCAGCAUGAUACCUCUGGUGUGGGACUUUGGCCAGCUCAAUGAUCACACUGAAAAAAUGUACAUCCAGCAGAUUGUCCAGAGGGUGGUUGAGACCAACACAAUUGAUAUAGUAUACACCAGGUUGAUCGCGGAUGUCCUGUCUGCUUCGCAGAGGUACAUGCGGACAAGGAAAGACGAAUGUAGCUUCGUAAGUCUGAGGGAUGUAGAACGUUGCAUGCAAGCCUUUGUGUGGUUCUACAAAAACCAUGCGAUGCUGCUUGCUGAGCUAAAUCAGUAUCAGAGAAAUCAAAACGCAGAGAGGAGUGAGAGGAACCAGAGGGAGCCAGAAGCAAGAGACCCAGUCUUGUGGUCUGUAGUGAUGGCUCUGGGAAUAUGCUACCAUGCCUGUUUGGAAAACAAGGACAAGUACAGACAGAGAAUCUGCAAAUACCUCACUGAAACCUACACCCCAUUCAAAGUGAUGCAGGAGAUAUCCCUCAUGCAGGAUCUCCUUCUGAGCGGAGUGCCCUUGGGCGAAACUAUUGCACGAAACAACGCUCUGAAAGAGAAUGUCUUCAUGAUGGUGGUCUGUAUAGAGCUGAGAAUCCCCCUCUUCUUGGUGGGGAAACCUGGGAGUUCAAAAUCUCUGUCUAAAACCUUGGUGGCAGACGCCAUGCAGGGCCAAGCCGCACACUCUGACCUCUACAAAAGGCUUAAGCAGAUUCACCUGGUGUCCUUCCAGUGCAGCCCUCACUCCACACCGGAGGGCAUCAUCAACACAUUCAAGCAAUGUGGUCGCUUCCAGGAGGGGAAGAACCUGAACGAGUAUAUAUCUGUGGUGGUGCUGGAUGAGAUUGGCUUGGCUGAGGAUUCUCCCAAAAUGCCCCUGAAAACCCUCCAUCCUCUGCUAGAAGAGGGAUGCAUCGAUGAUGAGCCGCUACCGCACAAAAAGGUUGGAUUCAUCGGCAUCUCCAACUGGGCUUUGGAUCCUGCGAAGAUGAAUAGAGGCAUUUUCGUCUCACGUUGCGACCCCGAUGAGAAAGAGCUGAUUGAGAGCGCUAAAGGCAUAUGCUCGUCUGACACAAUGAUUUUGGAGAAGGUCAGGGAUUUCUUCCAACCCUUUGCCAGGGCCUACCUAAACAUCUGCCGUAAACAAGGGAAAGGUUUCUUUGGUUUGCGUGACUACUACAGCUUGAUCAAGAUGGUUUUUGCAGUGACCAAGGCUUCCGAACAGAGGCCUAGUGCAGAGAAGAUUGUGGAGGCGGUCCUCAGGAACUUCAGUGGCAGGGACGACGUGGAUGCAGUCACAGUCUUCACCCAAAGGCUCCAGAAGAUACAGAUCAACCUGAAUCUGGAGAGCAUCAGCACCAUCGAUCUUGUCAGACAAAACAUUUCUGCGAUUGGCCAGGAGGAUGAGUGCCGCUACUUGCUAGUUCUGACCAAGAACUAUGCAGCACUACAGAUCCUGCAGCAGACUUUCUUCUCCGAGAGCUGCCAGCCAGAGAUUAUCUUCGGGUCUAGCUUCCCCAAGGACCAAGAGUACACCCAGAUCUGCCGCAACAUCAACCGAGUCAAGAUCUGCAUGGAAACCGGUCGAACCGUCGUUCUCCUGAACUUGCAGAACCUCUACGAAAGUCUCUACGAUGCUCUGAACCAGUACUACGUCUGCUUGGGAGGACAGAAGUACGUUGACCUGGGACUGGGGACACAUCGUGUCAAAUGCAGAGUACACAAAGACUUCAGGCUCAUUGUCAUUGAGGAGAAAGAGGUGGUCUACAAACAGUUUCCAAUCCCUCUCAUCAACAGGCUUGAGAAGCACUAUCUGGACAUCCAUACAGUUCUCAAGGAGGAACAAAGAGCAGUUGUUGUGGAGUUGGAGAAAUGGGUUGGGCAGUUUGUGGCCCUCAAUAACCAACACACCAUGGCCCCCCAGACAUACAAGUACCUACCUCCUGACGUUUUCAUUGGCUACCAUUCCGACACGUGUGCUUCGGUGGUCCUCCAAAUGACAGAGAAGCAAAGGGGAGAGACAGACAUUUCCGAGCCCCAAAGAAGAGUCCUGGACGAGGCCAAACUGAUCCUUCUGAACUGUGCCACUCCAGACUCGGUGGUUCGGCUGGACUGCACUGUUCUCCCCAGGGUGGAGAGUGAACAUCUGGCCAGGAUCUACUUUGAGGACCAGAAGCACAGCUCUUUGGCCGACUUCAUCUUCUCUCACACUCAACAGGACGAGCAGUGCCAUUCCUCCUUCACAGAGGUGACUACCUUUUCCAGACUUUUAACAGCAUCAGAUGUUGAGCCACUGGAAGAGGUCGUGAACAAUGUCGAGCUUCUCUCUCUUCAGCAGUUUGACACUGAGCACUCCUUCCUCAAGAAGAUCAGUCAUUUCCUCACAUCUGGAAAUGGGAGAGAGAAUACAUCUGGCAACAAAAUCCUGAUCAUCCAGUCAGAUUUUGAUGAAGAGUCACACAGUGCAAAUCUCAUUGCCUCCGCCAAAUAUUCUGCCAUCAAUGAAAUCAACAAAUCAAGACAAGUGGAGAUGGGAGGCAAGGUCUUCGUCUACUUCAUCACUAAAUUGCCAAGAAUGGAAGGAGGGACAUCCUAUGUUGGAUUUCAUGGAGACCCCUGGAGGUCGGUUCAUAUUGAUGACCUCAGAAGAUCGAAAGAUAUUGUGUCAGAUAUCAAAGCCUUGAGAAACCUUACCAUCAGUCAACUGUUUGAGGAGAAAAAGGAUGAGCCUGAAGCGAUGGAGGUAGAUGACAUGUACACUGAGACAGAGCAACAGGAAUUGGAACAUGAAGACCAAACAAGCUGGAGGAGUGUUGUGGACACCACGGCGCUGGUACGUAGCUGUGUGCAGAGCGCAGUGGGCAUGCUCAGAGACCAGCUGGAGGGUGGAGUCCGUAGUACCAGGAGAGUGGAGAUCCUGCUCACACUCCUGACUGACAACCAACAAAUAAGAGCUGAAUUUCUGAGGACCGUGAAGAGACGUCUUCACUCGUUGCUGUCGACCCAUGAUGACAACACGCUCAAACUGUCCUCAAAUAACUGGGUCAUCAAGGAGGCGUCCAACAUUGACGCACUGCAGGAAGGAGGGACAUUCAGACACACCCUAUGGAAAAGGGUGCAGGCUGUGGUUAUUCCCUUCUUGGCCCAGCUGGUCUCUGUCAUCGACCGCGACCGCAACCUGGACAUUCUGCAGGACUCCAACUCUGGAGAGGCAGUUAAGAAACUCUGGUUGGACAUCUUUGGGAACGACAAACUACUCGAGGUUCCCUACACAAAACUGGACCGCAAUUCAGAGUCAAAGACCAUCCUGGUCCAGAACUACAUUGGGCUGGACAAGAACAUCGGCUGUAUCAUGCCCUUCAGCUGGAGGAUCAGGGACUACCUGGAUGAACUCUGGGUCCAUGCUCUCCAGCAUGAAGGUCACACUCAGGGCCAGUUUGAGGAGUUCUUUAGGAAGACCCCACUGGGCCGCUACAUCUCAGAGGCAGACCCGGAGAUGCAGGCUGAGUUCUUCCACAGGUACCUGCAGGAUUUCAUCUCCAUGACCAUGAAUGUGACCUGUCAGGAGGAUCUGCAGCUCCUUUGCGGUGCCUUGACCUGUUGUGUGAACGAGCUGCGGCUGCGUCACGAUGACGUCAUGGGGAAGGAAGUGACCUCGCUGCCUUGGGUCCACGCUGCCUACCAUGAGUUUAAGAACCGCCUGCAGAACCUGUCCAGGAUGAUCAGCAUGGAGCCCCAGUUGGCCCAGGUCCUCCGGGGGAACACACAUGCCAGAGAGGGGGAUGAACUGGUGCUGGACGUGUAUGCGGCCGUGGCCUGUGUAGAGUACCUGGAGCCCCAGGCUCUGGACACAGACGGCCAGCGGCUGGUCUGGCUCAGACAGGUCAAGAGGCUCCAGGUCCCCAUCGAGCUGGUCUGCUCCGAGGAGAAUCUGAGACACUAUAAGGACAGGAGCGUGGCCAUGGUCCACAGAGUUCAGACUGGGUGGAACCGCGUCGUCACCCUGUCUCUGUUUGUGGAGCACAUGUUACUGGGCAUCGAGGAGGUGGAGAAGAAGCUGAAGCCUCUGGUCUUGGAGCACACCAGAGGGUUGUGCCAGAUCCUGGAGAAGGACUCUGACCUGAAAAUGAAGAAGCCGUUUGAGGCGGUGAUCGGUAUACUGAAAGCCUGCAAAGACGGAGCAAUGGAGCGCAUUUUCAGGUUUGGCCUCCAGCCGUGCCCUGUGUGUAUGAGCGACCCCCAUGACCCCCUGAGCCUGCCGUGUGACCACAUCUACUGCCUGGCCUGCAUCAGACAGUGGCUGGUCCCAGGUCAGAUGUUCUGUCCUCUCUGCAUGCAGGCUGUGCCAGACGACUUCACUCUCAGGCCCUCUGAAGACAUAAGAGUUCUCAUCAACCAGAACGCCCGCUUCAGGAAGCAGUGCAACGCCUUCUUCAUAGACCUGGUCUCAACAGUGUGCUUCAAGGACAACUCUCCCCCCUGCAGGGCCAUCAUCCUCCACCUGCUCUCCUUCCUCAUGGUGGAGGUCCACUCUGUGCCCAUCAUCAGAGGUGCUCAUCGUCAGAUUCUGACCAAGGCCCUCUCUCCCUUUGACGACUCCGUUGACAAAAACCCAGUAGUACGGUCGGUUGUUCUCAAACUCCUGCUCAAAUACAGCUUUGAUGACGUGAAAGACUACCUGCAGCAGCACCUGACAGCAGUUGAACAGAGCAACAUCUUGGAGGAAUCAGACAAGAAUGAACUGUAUUCUCUGUAUAUCAACUGUCUGGAGGAUUCCAUGUUUGAGCGGAUGCAGUGCCACACGGUGGCGGAGCAGCAGGCCUGCAUGCAGGAUGAGAGGGUCUUCCUGGGAGACUUCCUGCAGUUGGAUGCCGGACACGCAGCCACCGUAGAGUACCUGCAGCAGGUGGCCAGGGUGCGCAUGGGGCUGGACAGAGCUGCAGACCUGCUGGUCCACAUGCUGUCUGCUGCUGCCACAGGAUCGCAGGAGGAGUCUCCUAACGGCGUUGCGGCCUUCCUGACCAGCGUGGUAGAACUGUGUAGACGCAGCGGGAACGACUGGUACCGGGUCUACCUCAUCCGUAAGAUCUGCAGCCAGCGCGGCGUGGAGUUUGUUCAGAAACUACUGAAGGUGGCUGACAUCCGGUGGUUGUUCCCUGCUGAAGUUCUGCAGCAGAAUGAAGAUGGCAGCCAGAUAGACCAAUAUCUUGUGUGUGGAGAGGAUUACAAGACAAUCCGAGAUGCUGUUGCCAAGGCAAUGAUGGAAGGCAAAAUCGAGGGAUUGGACAACGCUUGUGAGGGCUGUAAAUGUCCUCCACAGAAGAAAGCAGUCUACCUGCUCCUGGCCCUGUUCAGAGAAGUCACCUCUCUCUACAGAUCAGCCAAUGACAGCUUCCAUCCUAAACCUGUGCAAUGCCAGGCCCUGUUGGCGUUCAUCCAGGCCUCCAAGGUGUUGGUCAGCCCAGAGGUGAGGGCCUUCGCCCAGGCCCUGGUGGCCAACCGGCUGGGGCCCCUGGAAGUCCGUCCCGGGGCCUCUGGGGCCCAGUGUGUGGUAGUGGAGCUGAGCGUCCACCUGGCUGCAGUGCUGCUCUGUGGGAACCAGGGUCUACUGACGCCCCUCCAGCAGCUGGCCCUACUGCCUGCCAACAUGCAGAGAGCCUUCCUCCCCACCAUGCCAGAGGACAUGCUAGCAGUGGCUCACAAAGCUAUGGGGCAGCUGCAGUGGUACUUUUGUCCCAACAAUCACCCGUGCACCAUCGGUGAGUGUGGCCAGCCCAUGGAGAGGAGUCGCUGCCUGGACUGUGGCCUUGAGAUUGGAGGGGACAACCACAUAGCUGUCCCUGGCUUCCAAGCCGUUCAGAUUCAGGGUGACCGCACCCAGACCGGCCACAUCCUGGGAGAGCCCAGACGGAGAGACAACCUGGACAUGCAGGACACCAAGAACAUGUCCCCAGUGCCCUUUAACCUGCUGCGCCUGGUCACACACAUGGCCAUGCUGCUAGGGGCCAGCAGUCACCCCCAGGUCAUCGGUGCCAUCAUCAAGCCCCCAGUGCCCGACCCCGGUGCGUUCCUGUGGGCCCACCUGUUGAAGGACAUGGAGCAGGUGACCAGGUCGCUGGGGAAGGGGUCUGACGACACGGUCAACACCGUCCAUCUGGUCAUCAGCAGCCUUCUGGGGCCCCACCAGCCUGGCCAGUGGCCUGUUCCCUAUGACAACCUGCUCUCCACCAAGGAGGCCCGAAACGGCUGGGAGACCACCGUCAGCAAUGACAUCAUCACACCUCAGCUGAAGCACCUGGACAGGCGGCUGAAGGAAGUGAACGCCUUUGUCCGGGCCGACUUGCGGGUCUCCUCCAACCCUGUGAUGAGGCUGGUGUUCGGGGACCCGCGCCUCUUCCUUGCCUCUCUGCCCCGGGAGUCUCUGAUCCACAGUUCGGCUGUGUGGAGCUGCAGGGAGCGGGUGUCUCUACUCAGCCUCACCCACAUCGUGGAGCAGCACAACGGCAGGGACACCCUGCCCAUGCUCUGGCGGUUCCUGCAGAGGGAGGCAGAGCUGCGGUUGGUGAAGUUCCUUCCUGACAUCCUGGCACUGCAGAGAGAUUUGGUGAAGAGGUUCCAGAACGUGACUGACCUCACCUGCCAUACCAUCACUGACUUCCUUCACAGCCAGAAAGCAGCCUCCCUCACAGCCUGGUACGAGAAACGGGUCAAAAUCUUCCUGACAACAUGGAAUCAGCUCCGGGUCUCCCUGGCAACCAACGGUGAGAUUAAAAUCCCUGGCGAGUUCUGCCGGGAGGACCUGGACCUGACCAGUGACUUCCUGGUUCUGUUGCCACGGCGACAGGGUCCCGGCCUGUGUUCCACGGCGCUGGUCAGCUACCUCAUCGCCCUGCACAACGAACUGGUCUACUGCGUGGACAAGCAUACUGGAGAGGAGACCAGCUACACGGUGAGCCCGGCGGACCUGAGCGACCUGCACGUGAUCCGCUACGAGCCGGAGAGGGAUCUGCUGCCCUUGGUUCUGUCCAACUGCCAGUACAGUGUGGAGCGUGGCCAGGAGGCCCUGCAUGAGUACGACCUGCCCAAGAUCCAGCAGCAGAUCCUGGCCCGCUUCCUGCAGGGAAAGCCUCUCAUCACUCUCAACGGAAUCCCAACCCUGGUGAACAGACACGACCGCAAUUAUGAAAACAUCCUCAAGGAUGUGAAAGGAAAGGUUCAACAGGAGCCCCUGCCCAUCCUGACCCUGUCGGCGCUGGCCGGGGAGCUGCAGUCAUACAGCGAGGUGUGUGAGGCGCUCUCCACCGUGGAGGUGGCUCUGGGCUUCCUGGCCAUGACGGGAGGCGAGCCCCAGCUGCAGUUGGAGCGCUACCUGGAGGAGGUUCUGCAGAUGGGAGACCAGACUGGCCCACACAUCCUAAAGGCCCUGAGCAGGUGUAGUCUGAGUCACUGUGUUGUCCUGUUGUCCUCAUGCAGGCCCUGAGCAGGUGUAGUCUGAGUCACUGUGUUGUCCUGUUGUCCUCAUGCAGGCCCUGAGCAGGUGUAGUCUGAGUCACUGUGUUGUCCUGUUGUCCUCAUGCAGGCCCUGAGCAGGUGUAGUCUGAGUCACUGUGUUGUCCUGUUGUCCUCAUGCAGGCCCUGAGCAGGUGUAGUCUGAGUCACUGUGUUGUCCUGUUGUCCUCAUGCAGGCCCUGAGCAGGUGUAGUCUGAGUCACUGUGUUGUCCUGUUGUCCUCAUGCAGGCCCUGAGCAGGUGUAGUCUGAGUCACUGUGUUGUCCUGUUGUCCUCAUGCAGGCCCUGAGCAGGUGUAGUCUGAAACACUGUGUGGCCCUGUGGCAGCUCCUCACCUCACUCAAGUCUGAGAACAUGCUGCGCAUCAAGAGGGACCCGUUUGUGGGGGUCUCAGAGGAAUACAGGAAUCCCCUGGGAGAUGAAGACCGGAGGCUACUCACUACGUUCUUCACCAAGAGCAGCGCUGACUCGUUCCUGCUGGAGAUGCACGAGUUUCUGCUGCUGGUCCUGAAGAGCCCCCGUGCCCCCGACACAUACAGGCCUGACUGGGGCCUGAAAGACACCCUGGUGUCCUACAUGGAGCGGAAAGACCUUGACGUUCCCCACGACGUGGACGAGUUGUUCCCCGGAGAGAUCAGUCUGGCUCAGUACAUAGAAGCCUGGAAGUUCACCGUGGCCUUCAAACAGGAGCGCAGCCAGAGAUAGCUCAACCACAGACAACUGAUUCUACUCUGCCUUUGUUUGCAUCCCACAUGGCUCCCUAUUCUUACUUUUUCUUCCUGAAGAGUCGAACAUUAUUUCAUACUUUUAUUGUUUUUUAGACAGGACAGUAUGAAGUCAGGGGGACAGACUAUGUUGGAGGAAUGACAAGACGGAAGGGAGCAUAGCCAAAGCUCCAACCUCCAGACUCCACGCCAAUGUAGUGCACUACUUUUGACCGACCAGGUUGGUGUGCCAUUUCAGAUGUAGACUUUGUACAGACUAUAGUCCCUGUAUAGUGUAUUUAAGGGCCACAGAUAUGUUUACAAUCAUGUUUAAGAAUACACUUAUGUGAUAUAGAUGCAUAUGUUUUACACAGGGGAACAUGAAAUGAGUGCCUUUUUGGAAAUGCACUUUCAAAGUGCCAGCAGACAGGUUCUACUCAUGUACAAUACCUAUAAACUGUUUCAUUCUGGUAUCUAAAAAGUCAACUGUGAUUUGUACUAAGAGUACAAUGAGUGAAGGGGAGGAAGUUACGAAAGUUGUAGUUAGCAAAUAUUUGUCCAUUUGUUUCAUUAGUUGAUAAAUAUGCAAAUCCAGUGGAGGCUGCUGAGGGGAGGAAGGCUCAUAAUGUCUGGAACGGAGCGAAUGGAAGGGCAUCAAACACAUGGAAACUAUGUGUUUGAUGUAUUUGGUACCAUUCCACCUAUUCCUCUCCAGCCAUUAUCACAAGCCCUUCCUCCCCAAUUCAGGUGCCACCAACCUCCUGUGAUGUACAAAAUGUUUGAUUGCUGAUGGUCUUGUGUGCACUUUUCCAAUGUGAAUUUCUGUAUCACGUAGUGGUGGUAGUGGAGGGAAAGACUGAAGUCUAAAUACCUAGACUAUUGGUCUUAUACUCAGGGAUGCAACUAGGUGAGAUGUUGGGCUAUAACUCUGGGGGCUGACAUUUUUAUCUCAACCAAACAACAAUCAAGAAAAUAAUCAAGAUUUAUCGUAGGUGAUGUUAUCUAUUGGGGGAAAUGAGUUUGCACAUUUCUGAAGCUACCUUGUUAUUAAUAUCUACGGUGUCCCCAAUGGAAAAUUAGGUUUUAUAAUUCACUUUGUCCGUUAGGGCCACCGUAGAUAUCUAUUUACAUGGCUUUGCCUCAAGUGAUAUGUUUUGUUCUUUCAUAAUGGACUCAUCUUCAAUCAUCUAGUCAGAAAUGGCAUGACAGUUUCCCCUUACAUAAUCACUGCCUUACAGAAUAUGCUCAUUGUAUUUUGUAUUUUAAGUUCUUCUUGUUGAACUUAAAGUUGGACCAAACGUUGUUUCUGUGUUUCAUUGCUGAAGAGUAUGACAUGCAGUGAUUAUUAUGUUAAAACAAAAUAAAUUGUUUGCUUCUCAGCAAAUCUUU